AGUCAACAUGCCCAGGGGACGUGGAUAACCUCGGGAAACUGAGGAUAAACCACGAUAGGUCAUAAUAUCUGGAAUGAUUUAUGGCUAAAAUCUACAUGGCCCCUGGAUUGGACUGCGGCCGAUCAGGCUGUUGGUGAGGUAAUGGCCCACCAAACCUAAAACCGGUACGGGCUCUGAGAGGAGAAGCCCGGAGAUGGGCACUGAGACAAGGGCCCAGGCCCUAUGGGGCGCAGCAGGCGCGAAAACUCUGCAAUAAGCGAAAGCUUGACAGGGUUAUUCUGAGUGAUUUCCGCUAAGGAAAUCUUUUAGCACCUCUAAAAAUGGUGCAGAAUAAGGGGUGGGCAAGCCUGGUGUCAGCCGCCGCGGUAAUACCAGCACCCCGAGUGGUCGGGACGAUUAUUGGGCCUAAAGCAUCCGUAGCCGGUUCUACAAGUCUUCCGUUAAAUCCAUCUGCUUAACAGAUGGGCUGCGGAGGAUACUAUGGAGCUAGGAGGCGGGAGAGGCAAGCGGUACUUAGUGGGUAGGGGUAAAAUCCGUUGAUCCACUGAGGACCACCAGUGGCGAAGGCGGCUUGCCAGAACGCGCUCGACGGUGAGGGAUGAAAGCUGGGGGAGCAAACCGG
rnacentral:rRNA from 1 species